GACGCUCUUCAGAGGUGCAGACCGCCGCCUUCUCUGUGUCCUCCAGGGCGGGAGGGGCCGAGGGCGCUCUCCGCGGGCACUGACCCCUCAUGACCUCGUCACCUCCCAAAGGAUGCCAUAACCUCAGGGAGUGAGUUUUAACACAUGAAUUUGGGGGGACACAAACGUUCAGCCCACAGCAGGAUGAGAGCAAGGGCGUGAAGAGAUUGAAAUGAACUCAAGUACAAUAGAAAUCGUCUCCAGCCACCAGACUGCAAGCCUUGGCUUAGAUUUGGGCAUCUUUAUCUCUAAACCGGGAAUAAAAGCUCUUGCCUGUCUAA